rnacentral:misc_RNA from 1 species
ACGCCCAAGCUUUUUGGAAGGUGGAUGGGUGUCGGUGCAAUGUUUCCUUUUUGCCGUGGGCAUUCUGAAACAGGAACUCUUGACCAUGAGCCAUGGUCUUUUGGAGAAGAGUGUGAAGAAGUAUGCCGACUGGCAUUGAAGAGACGUUAUCGCCUUAUUCCACACUUAUAUACUCUAUUCUAUGCUGCUCAUACAACGGGAACACCAGUGGCAAUGCCUACUUUCUUUGCUGAUCCAAAAGAUCCUAACCUAAGGACACUUGAAAAUUCCUUCCUGUUGGGUCCUCUUCUGGUUUAUGCAAGCACGAUUCCUGAUCAGGGAACAGACAAAUUGCAGCAUG